AUUGAACGCUGGCGGCAUGCCUAACACAUGCAAGUCGAGCGAGGGGCGGACGGGUGAGUAAUGUAUGGGGAUCUGCCCUAUAGUGGGAGAUAACUACUGGAACCGAUGGCUAAUACCGCAUACUAUCGGAUGACCCCCUGUGGGAUUAUCUAUUAGGUGGGGUAAUGGCUCACCUAGGCGACGAUCUCUAGCUGGUCUGAGAGGAUGAUCAGCCACACUGGGACUGAGACACGGCCCAGACGCCUACGGGAGACAGCAGUGGGUAAUAUUGGACAAUGGGCGCAAGCCUGAUGCAGCCAUGCCGCGUGUAUGAAGAAGGCAUUAGGGUUGUAAAGUACUUGCAGCAGGGAGGCGUUACCCGCAGAAGAAGCACCGGCUAACUACGUGCCAGCAGCCGCGGUAAUUC
rnacentral:rRNA from 1 species